rnacentral:rRNA from 1 species
AUGGCUGCGGUGGCGGGGGGUGGUAGAUCGCAACAAGAGGAACCACUAGAUGAGAAGCUGAAGUACCUGAAUCUAAAGGAAGAUGAAGAGGAAGAUGUGAUUUUGGAGGAGGAUCUGGAGGAGUUAGAGAAGGAUGUUGAGUUCAUGGAGAUAGCUAGAGUGCAUACUAUGAGAAAAUUCAGCUAUGCCUUCUAUGGAAUGAUGAGAUCUGCAUGGAAUCUUGCGCAAGAGGUGGAAUUCAGAGCUAUAGAAGAUAAUUUGUUCUCUGUGCAAAUCACAUGUCUAGCGGAUUAG